rnacentral:lncRNA from 1 species
UCGUCUAUAGUCCCUCCAUGUUGUCUUUUUUCAAUAUCAUUUCAUUAGCCAAAUGACUUUUCGCUAUAUUCAUAUCAACGAAAAAUCACCAUAGAGCUUAUAAAUAAAACCUUGAUCCAAUUGGCUAAUCUGACUCUUAGUGCACUAUUUCAACACUAAUUCAAGUUGAUAAUCAUUUCUCAAAACAAUGGCAAAGAGAUAUGAGCACUCACCCCAUCCCUUAAAUAAAAAUUUAAUCCAUUAGGCUAAUCUCACCGUUAGUCAAAGUAAGAAAGUAGAAAAAGAAAAUACCAAAUUAAAAUACAAGAAAAAAACAAGAAAUUUGAUAAAAGCGGUGAUGAUUAUUGGCUUAGUUUUUAGGAGCGAAUGCUACCAAAAAGUAUUUAUUUCCCAUCAUACCCUAGUCCGGCUCUAGGGUAAUGAUGGGUAAUACAAACUUUUUGGUACGAACUCUUCUAAAAGCUAAAUCAAUAAUCAUCACAGCCUUCUCACUUUUCAUGUUUUUUUCCUAUCUUCAAUUUUGGUAUUUUCUUCUUCUACUUUCUUACUUCAAUAUUUCCCCCUUUCCACUUUCUCUUUUCCUCCUUUCCACUUUCUCUUUUCCUCCUUUCCUACUGCUUCAACACUUGAUCCAAUUUGAUAAUCCUUUCUUCAAAAGAUGGCAACCUAUUAGGCCUCUUUUCUUGGUUCCUUUAAAUACACAUAUUAGGCUUACAAGUUUCUCCACUAAUCCUUCAAAAACUUUUAAUACUCUACCUUCUACCAAUGAAAAUGUCCAAAUAUAACCAACUUCAUGUCCAAGCCAAAGCCAGAACUGUGAAGAAAAUCAAAUAGGUGCCCCAUCUCUGUCCAUCUUAACAUUUCAUUACUUAUUUCAUCCAAAGAAGGACAAGAACACUUCAUUCAAAAGUCGAACUUCAAUCUCAUAUUAACCUUAUUAGACCAAAAGAAACUUUACUCCUGCACCAAUUAACCCAAGCACUUGUUAUUUUAGAGUUUCAUUUACUAAAAAUCUUUUCAAUGAAUUACUCCAUGAUCCACCACACUCCAUGUGCUUUUCCCCUCUUUAAAUUCAUAAUUUCUCCUAUAAGAUAUCACGGCAAUUUGGCAAAUCUUAAAAGUAUCAUGUUUUCUCCAAGUUGUGAACUCUCCAUCCAAUUUUAUACUCCUUUAUCCAAAGAAUGUCUAGACCUCACCAAACGCCAAAACGUGGAAGUACAAUCACAUAGUUGAAUAAUAGAAAAUUCUUUUAUUAUAACUUAUUUUCCUUAUGUAACAUAAUGAUUCAACCCAACAAAUCCAAAACCUUUUCUGUUAAUAUUGUGUACAAUCAAACUUUUCUCUUCAACUAUUCUUUUUUAGACUUGUGAGUUUCCUAACAUUUAAAAUCCAAAAUCAUAAAAAUGUAUCUUCAAUUCCAAAAAACUCCUGAAUAAAUAUUAAUUUAUACCCUCAUAUUUGAAAACCAAAUGGAAUGCUCAAGUCCAUUUUAUUCCAAACAAAUUUUUCGCAUAAUACUUCAAUUUUCAGUUUUGAUAUUGAUUUAAAUAAAUACUCUUGAUCCACCAUAUACUUCCGUAUCUCUUUUCCUUUAGCAUAUAAUCUUCCUUCCAAAGAAUGACAAGAAAUCUAUCAAAAACUUGAAGUCCAAUAUCGUACUUUAAUUUGAAAUUCCCUUAUUCAAACUUAUCUUCCUAUCUACUUGAAGAUAAUCAUUCUCUUAUUCAACUUAUCUUUGGGUCUCCUUUAAUACCUAACAAACUCAGCAAUUCCAUAUGAUUGCCCCUUAUCUAGCUUAUAACCAACAGAAUCUAACUUUGCACUUGCACCAAUUACCCGAAAGAUUUUUUAUUCAAGUACUCCCUUUAAUUAAAAACCUUCAGACCUCUUUUCUUGGUUCCUUUAAAAACCACCUAUUAGGCUUAUAAGUUUCUUCACCAAUCCUUCAAAAACUUUUAAUACUUAUAAGUUUCUUCACCAAUCCUUCAAAAACUUUUAUACUUAUAAGUUUCUUCACCAAUCUUCAAAACUUUACUCAAAAAUUUAUAUUAUUAUUUC